UACGUAGGGUGCAAGCGUUGUCCGGAAUUAUUGGGCGUAAAGAGCUCGUAGGCGGUUUGUCGCGUCUGCUGUGAAAACCCGAGGCUCAACCUCGGGCCUGCAGUGGGUACGGGCAGACUAGAGUGCGGUAGGGGAGAUUGGAAUUCCUGGUGUAGCGGUGGAAUGCGCAGAUAUCAGGAGGAACACCGGUGGCGAAGGCGCUGCUCUGGGCCGAUACUGACGCUGAGGAGCGAAAGCGUGGGUAGCAAACAGG
rnacentral:rRNA from 1 species